rnacentral:rRNA from 1 species
CCUACGGGUGGCAGCAGUAGGGAAUAUUGCUCAAUGGGGGAAACCCUGAAGCAGCAACGCCGCGUGGAGGAUGAAGGUUUUCGGAUUGUAAACUCCUUUUGUUAGAGAAGAUAAUGACGGUAUCUAACGAAUAAGCACCGGCUAACUCCGUGCCAGCAGCCGCGGUAAUACGGAGGGUGCAAGCGUUACUCGGAAUCACUGGGCGUAAAGGGCGCGUAGGCGGGUUAGUAAGUCAGAUGUGAAAUCCUAUGGCUUAACCGUAGAAUUGCAUUUGAAACUGUUAUUCUAGAGUAUGGGAGAGGUAGGCGGAAUUCGUGGUGUAGGGGUAAAAUCCUUAGAGAUCACGAAGAAUACUGAUUGCGAAGGCGGCCUGCUGGACUGUAACUGACGCUGAUGCUCGAAAGUGUGGGGAUCAAACAGGAUUAGAUACCCGAGUAGUC